rnacentral:rRNA from 1 species
AUGUUCUCAUCGCAGUCACUCAGCCGCGUCAACAACAUCUGCACGGUGCUGAUUAACAUGCAGAAGGGAAACCAAUCGGUGGCCUCCUACUUCGCCGCCAUGAGGGGCCUCGCCGAUGAACUCGCCGCCGCGGGAAAACCGAUCCAGGACGACGAGCUCAUGUCCUACAUCAUCCAAGGGCUGGACCAAGACUACCAGCCCCUCGUCUUCGCUCUGGACGCACGCGUCACUCCGGUAACCCUUGACGAGCUUUUUGCCAUGCUUAGUAAUUUCGAUCAACGCAUGGCGCAGUACCAUGGCUCCGGAGGC